GAUGAAGAACGCAGUGAAAUGCGAUAAGUAAUGUGAAUUGCAGAAUUCAGUGAAUCAUCGAAUCUUUGAACGCACCUUGCGCCCUUUGGCUAUUCUGAAGGGCAUGCCUGUUUGAGUAUCGUGAACACCUCAACUCUCAUGGUCUGCCAUGAUGAGCUUGGACUUUGGGGGUCUUGCUGGCCUACUGUCAGCUCCUCUCAAAUGAAUCAGCUUACCAGUGUUUGGUGGCACCACAGGUGUGAUAACUAUCUACGCUUGUGGUUUUCUGCCAGGUAACCUCCAGUGAUGGAGGUUCGCUGGAGCUCACAAAUGUCUCUCCUCAGCGAGGACAGCUUUUUGAACGUUUGAUCUCAAAUCAGGUAGGACUACCCGCUGAACUUAAGCAUAUCAAUAAGCGGAGGA
rnacentral:misc_RNA from 1 species